AUGAGCCCCUAGUAUUAAUAGAGACCUUUUCGUUCUGUACAAAAGCAGUUUACAACCCGAAGGCCUUCGUCCUGCACGCGGAAUGGCUGGAUCAGACUUGCGUCCAUUGUCCAAAAUUCCCCACUGCUGCCUCCC
rnacentral:rRNA from 1 species